rnacentral:rRNA from 1 species
AUUGAACGCUGGCGGCAUGCUUUACACAUGCAAGUCGAACGGUAACAGGGAGCUUGCUCCGCUGACGAGUGGCGAACGGGUGAGUAAUAUAUCGGAACGUACCCAAGAGUGGGGGAUAACGUAGCGAAAGUUACGCUAAUACCGCAUACGAUCUAUGGAUGAAAGCAGGGGACCUUCGGGCCUUGUGCUCCUGGAGCGGCCGAUAUCUGAUUAGCUAGUUGGUGAGGUAAAGGCUCACCAAGGCGACGAUCAGUAGCUGGUCUGAGAGGACGACCAGCCACACUGAAACUGAGACACGGUCCAGACUCCUACGGGAGGCAGCAGUGGGGAAUUUUGGACAAUGGGCGCAAGCCUGAUCCAGCAAUGCCGCGUGAGUGAAGAAGACCUUCGGGUUGUAAAGCUCUUUUGUCAGGGAAGAAACGGCUGUGGCUAAUAUCCACGGCUAAUGACGGUACCUGAAGAAUAAGCACCGGCUAACUACGUGCCAGCCGCCGCGGUAA